rnacentral:rRNA from 1 species
AGAUUGAACGCUGGCGGCAUGCCUAACACAUGCAAGUCGAACGGGAGUAGCAAUACUCUAGUGGCGGACGGGUGAGGAAUACGUAGGAAUUUGCCCUUAAGUGGGGGAUAACCCGGGGAAACCCGGAUUAAUACCGCAUGACCUCGAAAGAGCAAAGUGGGGGAUCGCAAGACCUCACGCUUUUGGAGAAGCCUACGUCGGAUUAGCUAGUUGGUGAGGUAAUGGCUCACCAAGGCGACGAUCCGUAACUGGUCUGAGAGGAUGAUCAGUCACACCGGAACUGAGACACGGUCCGGACUCCGUACGGGAGCAGCAGGUGGGGAAUAUUGGACAAGUGGGCGCAAGCCUGACUCCAGCAAUGCCGCGUGUGUGAAGAAGGCCGUUGGUUAGUAAAGCGUAACUUUAAGGUUAGGGAAACGUAAAAACGUACGACUACGUAACACAAGU